GCAGGGCGGUCACGGCGGCCUGCCCAGGGCGCAGCGGGGGGCGACCUUUGUGCGGGGCGGGUCCCUGGCAGCCUCGGCCGGGACGCGCCGCCAACGAGGAGCCGAGCGCCCUGGAGAACGCGUCGGGGCUGAGCCGGGGUCCAGCAGCCGCCGCUAUGGACAUCCCGCCGCUGGCCGGCAAGAUCGCGGCGCUGUCGCUGAGCGCCCUCCCGGUGUCCUACGCGCUCAACCACGUCUCGGCGCUCUCGCACCCCCUGUGGGUGGCAUUGAUGAGCGCCCUAAUCCUGGGUCUGCUCUUCGUGGCGGUCUACAGCUUGUCCCAUGGCGAGGUCUCCUAUGACCCACUCUAUGCUGUCUUCGCUGUCUUCGCCUUCACCUCGGUUGUGGACCUCAUCAUCGCUCUUCAGGAAGACAGCUAUGUGGUGGGCUUCAUGGAGUUCUACACCAAGGAGGUACUUGGGGGACGACCAGGGAGCCCCCUACCGCACUGCCCGUCUGAGUCUCCCACCUGCUCCCACAGGGAGAGCCAUACCUGCGCACAGCGCACGGAGUCUUCAUCUGCUACUGGGAUGGCACUGUUCACUACCUCCUCUACCUGGCCAUGGCUGGCGCCAUCUGCAGAAGGAAGAGAUACCGGAAUUUUGGACUCUACUGGCUGGGUUCCUUCGCCAUGAGCAUCCUGGUGUUCCUUACAGGAAACAUUCUUGGUGCAAGAGGAACAAAGAAAGGGACUCCUGCAGCGUCCGGCUGACCUGGCCCUUGUCAUAUAUCUCAUCCUUGCUGGCUUCUUCACUCUGUUCCGGGGCCUGGUGGUGCUUGAUUGCCCCACAGAUGCCUGCUUUGUCUAUAUCUACCAGUAUGAGCCAUACCUGCGGGACCCUGUGGCCUACCCUAAGGUGCAGAUGCUGAUGUACAUGUUUUAUGUCCUGCCUUUCUGCGGCCUGGCUGCCUAUGCUCUCACCUUCCCUGGUUGCUCCUGGCUGCCAGACUGGGCCUUGGUGUUUGCUGGAGCCAUCGGCCAGGCAGACGCCGGGAUUGCGCCGCCUGCAGGGACCUGCCCAGUCUUAACCGGGUGUGCGGGGAGCGCAGUCCGGGUGCGUAGGGGCCGCUCGGCGGGGGCCGCGCGGGCAAGAUGGUGUGCGCUCGGGCGGCCCUCGGUCCCGGCGCGCUCUGGGCCGCGGCCUGGGGCGUCCUGCUGCUCACAGCCCCUGCGGGGGCGCAGCGUGGCCGGAAGAAGGUCGUGCACGUGCUGGAGGGUGAGUCGGGCUCGGUAGUGGUACAGACAGCGCCUGGGCAGGUGGUAAGCCACCGUGGUGGCACCAUCGUCUUGCCCUGCCGCUACCACUAUGAGGCAGCCGCCCACGGUCACGACGGCGUCCGGCUCAAGUGGACAAAGGUGGUGGACCCGCUGGCCUUCACCGACGUCUUCGUGGCACUAGGCCCCCAGCACCGGGCAUUCGGCAGCUACCGUGGGCGGGCUGAGCUGCAGGGCGACGGGCCUGGGGAUGCCUCCCUGGUCCUCCGCAACGUCACGCUGCAAGACUACGGGCGCUAUGAGUGCGAAGUCACCAAUGAGCUGGAAGACGACGCUGGCAUGGUCAAGCUGGACCUGGAAGGCGUGGUCUUUCCCUACCACCCCCGUGGGGGCCGAUACAAGCUGACCUUCGCGGAGGCGCAGCGCGCGUGCGCCGAGCAGGACGGCAUCCUGGCAUCUGCAGAACAGCUGCACGCGGCCUGGCGCGACGGCCUGGACUGGUGCAACGCGGGCUGGUUGCGCGACGGCUCAGUGCAAUACCCCGUGAACCGGCCCCGGGAGCCCUGCGGCGGCCUGGGGGGGACCGGGAGCGCAGGGGGCGGCGGUGAUGCCAACGGGGGCCUGCGCAACUACGGGUAUCGCCAUAAUGCCGAGGAACGCUACGACGCCUUCUGCUUCACGUCCAACCUGCCGGGGCGCGUGUUCUUCCUGAAGCCGCUGCGACCUGUACCCUUCUCCGGAGCUGCGCGCGCGUGUGCAGCGCGUGGCGCGGCCGUGGCCAAGGUGGGGCAGCUGUUCGCCGCGUGGAAGCUGCAGCUGCUGGACCGCUGCACCGCGGGUUGGCUGGCCGAUGGCAGCGCGCGCUACCCCAUCGUGAACCCGCGCGCGCGCUGCGGAGGCCGCAGGCCUGGUGUGCGCAGCCUCGGCUUCCCGGACGCCACCCGACGGCUCUUCGGCGUCUACUGCUACCGCGCUCCAGGAGCACCGGACCCGGCACCUGGCGGCUGGGGCUGGGGCUGGGCGGGCGGCGGCGGCUGGGCAGGGGGCGCGCGCGAUCCUGCUGCCUGGACCCCUCUGCACGUCUAGGCUGGGAGCAGGCGGACAGCCAGGGCGCUUGACCACUGGUCUAGAGCCCUGUGGUCCCCUGGAGGCUGGCCACGCCCUUGAAGCCCUGGACACUGGCCACAUUCCCUGUGGUCCCUUACAAACUAACUGUGCCCCUGGGGUCCCUGAAGACUGGCUAGUCCUGGCAGAACAGUACUUUGGAGUUCCCUGGAGCCUGGCCAGCCUUCACCUCUUCUGGACAGAGGAUUCCCCCAACUCCCCAACUUUCUCCAUGAGGGCCACGCCCCCUGAGGACCUCAGGAGGCCAGCAGAACCCGCAGGCUCCUGAAGACUGGCCACGCCUCCUGAGACCACUUGGAAACAGACCAACUGCCCCCGUGGUCGCCUGGUGGCUGGACCCCCGGGAUUGACUAGAGACCGGCCGUACACCUUCUGCAUCUCACUGGAGACUGAACACUAGUCCCUUGCGGUCACGUGGGACACUGGGCGCCUCCUCCUCCCCCUCCUCCUCAACUGGAGAGACUACAGGAACUUCAGGGUCACUCCCCGCGGUCACAUGGAGGUUGUGGGCCGAGGCGCUUAUUUUCCCUUAUGGUGACCUGAGUCCUGGAGACUCCCAUUCUCCCCCUCUCCCUGAGAGUCCCCUGCAGUUUCUGGGUAACAGGGCACACCCCUCUAGUUUCAUGGGCGAGCACCCCCAUCUGCCACCUCAGACUGACACACAGCCAGCUGGCUCACUUACUGGGGGCCACGUCCCACCCCUCAGAUAUUUCUUUGAAGGGAGAGCAAACCCACCCUGUCCUCUGACGUCCCUUUCCCAACUGUCACCAAACAGACCAUCUUCCCAGGCCUGGGGACCGGUAAGAUCCACGUCACUAGUUAUGCAGAGCAGUUGCCUUGGGUCCCACUGUCACCAAGGCAACCAGUCCUGCUGCUACCUGUCACCUAGAGUCACACACCCCUUCCCUCAUCAGGCACACCCAUGAAGACAGUGCCUCCCUCCUCCAGCUGUAACCAUGGAUACCACACAUUUCUCAUCUCAUUGGCCCCCACCCCAGAGACCUCCACCUCAACUUCUGGCUGUCCCUACCCUGACUCACCGCCAUGGAGAUCACCCUCCCCGAAGCUGUCCCCAGGGUGACCCAACAUCCAGUUCUCCGGCUCUCACCAUGGAAACAAACUGUCCCUGUCCCCAGGCCCACUCCAGUUCCAGACCACCCUCCAUGCUCCGCCCCCAGGCGGUUUGGACCCCACCACUGUUGCCAUGGUGACCAAACUCUGGUGUCCGAGGUAACAGAACACCUGUCCCCCUAGGCUUUUCCUUGUGGACAACGGGGCCCUGUUCACCAAGCUGUUGCCAUAGAGACUGUCAACGUUGUCCUCAUGACAACCAAACUUCCAGUUCUCAGGAACUUCUCAUUGUGGGCCAGAAGUCCUGGGUGCCUCCUACUAGGGCUACCCUACUGCACCCCAUCAGGGGCCUGAUGGCUGCCCCUUCCCCAGACAGGGCUGGACUUCUGGAGCUGCUAAGCCACCCUCCGUUUGCACGUUAACUCUAUGCCGCAUAGCAGCUGUGCACGAGACAAUCUUGCAACACCCGGGCAUGUUUGUCGUCGUCCUACAAAUGAGGAAACCGAGCCUAUGGCGUGCCCUGGUCUGUUGAGAUAUGCAAGCACUGAGCUCCUCUUUUGUCCUCUGAGACCCCAUCUCCAUUCUCACUCAGUUCCUCUCUCCUUCCCUGACCCCCACCCACAUUUCCCUCCUUAGAGAUCCAGGAGGGAUGGAAUGUUCUUUAAAAUUCAACACCCACCAGGCUCUAAGCGGCGAUCUGUGCUAAGAGGUCAGGACCCAGCCGAAGUUCUCGGCGUUGACAGGCAGCUGGGGGGACAUGAUCCAUGGACAAGGCCAUCCCGGCCGUGGGAGACCCCAGUCCUGAAGUCUUGCCUGCAGGAGUACUGGGGUCCCCCUGGGGCCCUCUUUACUGUCACGUCAUCUCUAGGAAACCUAUCUCUGAGUUUUGGGACCAGGUCGGUUUGGGUUUGAAUUCUGCCUCUUCUUGCUCACUGUGUGACCAAGUGACAAACUCCUUCUGAACCUGUGUUCUCCCACUGUACCAGGGCUGUUCUGUGGUCCCCGUGAGUGCCAAGCAUACAGUAGGGGCUCAAUAAAUCCUUGUUUCUUUUGAUGAAUGAGAAAAUGAGGCAGCCAGUGGGUAAUUCCUGUAUAAAUGCACUUUGGUAGAUAAGAUGUUACAAGCUUGGGGGGCUUGGGGUUUUUUUUUGUUUUGUUUUUUUGAGAUGGAGUCCUGCCCUGUCGCCCAGGCUGGAGUGCAGUCGUGCAAUCUUGGCUCACUGCAACCUCUGCCUCCCGGGUUCAAGUGAUUCUCCUGCCUCAGCCUCCCGAGUAGCUGGGAUUACAGGUGCCUGCCACCACACCCGGCUAAUUUUUGUAUUUUUAGUAGAGACAGGGUUUCACCAUGUUGGCCAGGCUGGUCUUGAACUCCUGACCUCAGGUGAUCUACCCACCUCGGCCUCCCAAAGUGUUGGGGUUACAGGCGUGAGCCACUGCGCCUGGCCGGGCUUGAUUUUUAUUCUCUUUGGAAGUGGGGUCCUUUAUUCCUCCCCCACCUCCCCAAUCUCUUGCUCCUCUUUCUUCCCCCAUCCUGUGCCCACUGUCUCCCUUUAGCCACCCACCAUGGGUCUGCUCCUUGUCAACUCUGUCCUGACUGGGUCAUUGACAAGAUCCAGGGCAUGAAAUUCGGGAAACUGGAUGGGGAGUUCCUGUACCAGGAAGGGAGAGACGUUACAAACUUUCCCUGACAUGAAUAUGUGGGCUGAGGGCGGGGGCUGAGGAAGCACUGGAAGUUUCUAGGAUACAACAAAGCAUGAAGAGAAAAAAUAGUGUAAGGUCCUGACCGUGCACAGUGGAUCAUGCCUAUAAUCCCAGCACUUUAAGAGACCAAGGUGGGAGGAUUGCUUGAGCCAGAAGGUCGAGGCUGCAGUGAGCCAUGAUUGUACCACUGCACUCCAGCUUGGGCGACGGAGUGAGACCCUGUCUCAAAAAAUAAAAAUAAGUAAAUCUCCUCUUCCUC
rnacentral:sRNA from 1 species